AUUACGUUCUCUGUUCGAAGUCCUUAAUCAGCUGUUUUGACAGAAAUUAAAGCCUACACAAGUGAUGUUGCAAGUGGGAAGCGAGAUUAAAACCAGCAUUUAUUAAAAAUGUGUAACGAAUUUUUUUGGAAAUUAAUAACAAUAAGAUCGGUUCUGCAACCGCUGCACUUUUGUGCCAGAUGGAAGAACAUGCUUCAGCCAACAAUUGUAGGAAUAUGCAAUGAGACUUACGAGAAGCUUCUACGCCAUUCAAUUAAAAGAUAAAUAUUUUUGAAAAAUGUUCGUCUCAACCUCAGUGUACUUUCAAGAAAGACGCAUUCAAAAGCUCGUCUAAGAAAAUUUGUGUUUUAGCUCAUGAUGCUUAUGACGCCCCGCGAAUCAAGGCGUACUGAAAGAGGUGCGCGGAGUUGGGCGGGUUAAACAGUUUUUCGACCACCAGAAGCAGAUAUGUCGGUGCUCGGUAUCCUGGAAAUAGCCAUGCCUCUCAUGUGUGGAAUGCAAGCGAUGCUAAAGUUUACAUUGUGGAGAGAUAUUAGCAGGGAGGCAAACUAUCUAGAUAAUAUAAAGGUGAUUAUGGAUCCCCAUCACAGCCGCCGGUAGUCACACCACUGAUAUUAAUAAUUAUAUAAAUAAUAUAAAAAAAAUGUAUGCUUGAUGUAACAUGAAUUAUCUUCUGGGCCGAAACCUAAAUGAAAUUUAAAAUGUUAAAAUUUUAAGAUAAAUUCAGAUCCUUUCUUAAAAAUACUAGUUUUAAGUCACAUAAUUGAGUCACUAUAUAAUUAAUUUAGUCAUAAUUAAGUCACUAUAUGCUUCCAAUAUUCGUAAUAUGUUUCGUGCUAAUAUAGUUCAUUAUAUAAUAUGUAAAAACCUUUUAAAUUGAAAUUCUAAAGUCUAAAACUUGGCACCAAAAUUUUCUAGUCAAUUAGCAUUUUUUAAAAAUACCUACGUAUACAGUUUUAUAGCCCAUUAAAUUUCAGUAUAAUAAAAUGUAAGAAAAGACUACUUCUCUAUAAAAUGUGCUUAAAUAAUGUAACCAAAAAUAUAUGUAUGUAUGUAAAUUAAGUUUUUUCUUAAACCUUAGACUCCGGUUAUUGAUAUUCACUUUAGUUACUCUAUCAUUAAUAAAGACUAAUCAAUUGAGAGGUAUCGGAUUUUUUAUUGAAAUAAAACAAUGAAAACUCGCA